rnacentral:rRNA from 1 species
UGGCGGACGGGUGAGUAACGCGUGGGUAACCUGCCUCGUACAGGGGGAUAACAGUUGGAAACGGCUGCUAAUACCGCAUAAGCGCACAGUACCGCAUGGUACGGUGUGAAAAACUCCGGUGGUAUGAGAUGGACCCGCGUCUGAUUAGGUAGUUGGUGGGGUAACGGCCUACCAAGCCGACGAUCAGUAGCCGACCUGAGAGGGUGACCGGCCACAUUGGGACUGAGACACGGCCCAA